rnacentral:rRNA from 1 species
UACGAAGGGUGCAAGCGUUGUUCGGAAUUACUGGGCGUAAAGGGUUUGUAGGCUGAUAGAUAAGUCAAGUGUGAAAUCCCCGAGCUAAACUUGGGACGUGCAUUUGAAACUGUGUAUCUUGAGUAUCGUAGAGGGUGGUGGAAUUGUAGGUGUAGGAGUGACAUCCGUAGAGAUCUGCAGGAACAUCAGAGGCGAAAGCGACCACCUGGCCGAUGACUGACGCUGAGGAACGAAAGCGUGGGGAGCAAACAGG